GAUGAACGCUGGCGGCGUGCCUAAUACAUGCAGGUCGAGCGAACAGACGAGGAGCUUGCUCCUCUGACGUUAGCGGCGGACGGGUGAGUAACACGUGGAUAACCUACCUAUAAGACUGGGAUAACUUCGGGAAACCGGAGCUAAUACCGGAUAAUAUAUUGAACCGCAUGGUUCAAUAGUGAAAGACGGUUUUGCUGUCACUUAUAGAUGGAUCCGCGCCGCAUUAGCUAGUUGGUAAGGUAACGGCUUACCAAGGCGACGAUGCGUAGCCGACCUGAGAGGGUGAUCGGCCACACUGGAACUGAGACACGGUCCAGACUCCUACGGGAGGCAGCAGUAGGGAAUCUUCCGCAAUGGGCGAAAGCCUGACGGAGCAACGCCGCGUGAGUGAUGAAGGUCUUCGGAUCGUAAAACUCUGUCAUUAGGGAAGAACAAAUGUGUAAGUAACUAUGCACGUCUUGACGGUACCUAAUCAGAAAGCCACGGCUAACUACGUG
rnacentral:rRNA from 1 species